UACGGAGGGUGCGAGCGUUAUCCGGAAUUACUGGGUUUAAAGGGUGCGUAGGCGGCCAAGUAAGUCAGGAGUGAAAGUUUGCGGCUCAACCGUAAAAUUGCUUUUGAUACUGCUAGGCUAGAAUUAGGAUAAGGUCAGCGGAAUGUGGCAUGUAGCGGUGAAAUGCAUAGAUAUGCCAUAGAACACCAAUUGCGAAGGCAGCUGGCUAGACCUGGAUUGACGCUGAGGCACGAAAGCGUGGGGAUCGAACAGG
rnacentral:rRNA from 1 species